AAGGGGUGCAUCUGACCAGUGACUGACAAAGGAUUUCCUUCUGGAAUGCAUGGGGUAUAAAUCCCCUUCCUGGUGGGCCAGCUGGUCUGGCCACUUCCAGUCCCUGCCACCCAACAUCUCUUGGCUCUGUUCAGACUGGCCAUCCAGAGGAGAGGGAAAAGACACUGUCCACUAGUUAACCCAAGCCUGAAGUACGCAAAUGAGAGAGAGGGAGAGAAGACCAAGCUUUUCCCCCUGCAUGUGAAGAAGCUGCAAGCUACAACUGAUCAUCAAUAAAGAUACUUAUGCUGUGUUAAAUGUAAGAAAUCUCUUCUUUGGUUCCUGCAUGAGGACUGCACAUGAUAUGAAAAAUUCUGAUACAGUCAGUUGGGCCAAGAGCAAGACCGUCCCCAUGGAUUUCUAGCCAUCUAUUUGAUGUGUCUCAGGCCUCAUCUACCAAGAUGAUUUAUGAAGACAAGAAAGAAGUCCUCUAGAUAGAAGACUGGAGAUGAUUUGAACAUCUACCAGCCCAAGGAAAUAAUAUUGCCAGUUUUGUAUUGACUUUAUUCCAAUCAACUGCCUCAAGACAGCCCUGAAGAACUUCAGUAAUUCAAAGCAGUAUUUUUAUUACUGAUCUCCAUUUGACAUAUGAAGACUUCUCAGGUUGAGUCAGGACUAAAAUCUGUUUCAGAUGCUCUACUGCAGCAAUUGUAAUUUAGAAUUCACCAGUUUAAAUAAUCUCACUUAGUCAAAUUAGUUCUGUAUUUCACUUUGCAAUGGACUUCUCUUUCAUUUCAAGCAAAUGACUACUCUGUGAGGACAAGAUUUUUACUGCUGUUACUCAGCCUGAGUAGUACCAUGCUCUUGUAUGUAGUCCUACUGAAGAAAAUAAGAUUUUAUUGUUUGUAUUCUACCUGGACAAUAGGAAGGGUCGGUACGAUCUUUGUAUAUCAGCUGAAUAAAAAAGCAGAUGCAACUCUAGAGAAGAACAUGGUCUGGCUCAGUAUUCAAACUCUUCAAAUAUUUGUAGACUGUUUAUUGUGUCCUAUGCUCCUUAGUUGUCUCGUUUCUUAAUAUCUUUCCCUGUAAAUUAAUGUCUUCGUUUCUGAAGUAAAUGGGAUGUUCUUCCGUGAACACUUCUUUACAACAUUUCAGCUGUGGUAACAUUAAAACUGGAAAAGGUGGUGUUAUGCCCUGCUCCAUAAUACAAUGUGUCUGUGGAAGAAGCCCAAAUUAACACUGAUCUUUUUGGUGUCAUAUUAUAUUGCAAGCUCAUACCUACUGUCAACCUAAAUCUCUUUAAAAAAAAUGAACAAAAUGCCUUAUCUAAAUUUCUUAGGCAAAGAUAAAGUGGUGACUAUAGUUUAAAGAAGGUUUGGUACCUUCCUGUUAGUCACUAAAUGAAACAUACAGGCAACCUAAUUCCCAGCAUACUCCUUAGUCAGUGUGUCAAAUCUAAUCCCUACCUUUUUGACACUGGAGGCCACAUUCUUCACUAUGCUCCACUUUCACUGUACACAGUUGAGAAAGGAGCUGCAAAGCAGCUAGUUGUUGGUCCCCACAGUCAGUGAACAUUUCUAAGCCUCUCCAGGCCCCAUUGUACUUUAUGGUGGCCUAGGGGCUGCUCCAGCAUUGACUAGUUAUGGUCCCUGAAGGGGCAUCUGCCAGCCUGGGUGCUGCUGAGUGCAGUGCUUGGUGUUAUGGUGCUUGUAAUGCCCACUGAGAGCAACAAGACAGUCUCUCCUGUGCUCUCGAUGCUCCCCCUACUGGUGCACAAGCUGCAAGAAGGGGAAAGAAGAUGCAUCCUGGCUGGAAUGGUGAUUAGUGAGGAGCUGAGACUUGUGGGGGAAAAGAUGAGAGGGAGACUGGCAAAUGGAGCUGAGGAAGUGGGAGCAGGAAAAGGAACAUGGAUUGGAGGUUUGUGGAGACUGAGAUGAGGAGUGCAGGGGAAGGAGUCAGACUACACAAACCUGAUCUAUCUCCAGGGUAUGUUCCAGCCUGUGCACUGAAUGAGGCAGGGGGCCUGUGGAAACAUAGUAUGUGAUCAUGUAAUUUCUGACUGUGGCAUUCUCAUGUGUUUGCAUUAUGAAAAUCUAAA